CCGGGCCUUUUCAGUUCUUGUUUGGGCUAAUAUGGACUGGGCACGGGGCCGUCUGUACCCGGAUCCGCUUUCUGGCCGUCGGCGAACAGCGGCGAGGGGCUGGCAGGAGGCUGGCGAGAGGUCAUGGAGAGCGGGAAGGUGCCGGCGGGCAGCCCUAGGAAGAGGGAGUCUAGAUGCCGCGGAGUAGCAGGAGGAAGGAGAGGGAGAGUGGUACCGAGAGGAGGCUGAUGGCGUUUUCCCGUCAAUCCCGGCGUUCGCCGGUGAGGUCGGAAUCAGUCGUCGGCGCCGGUCGGGUGGGAGGCACGGAUUGUUUUUUUCCCCACUCCGCACCUCUCAUGUUCAGAGAAGUAAUUUUCAACUGAUCCAUUUCAUUUUGUGUUGGGCCUGCCAAACAGUGCUGCUUUAGUGACACAAGACAAGGAGUGUAGAAGGAAUUUCAUUGUGUCUCGUUUCAGGUUGACUGAGAUGGCAAGCAUAACUUUCUUUGGAGACACGCUCACAUAUUUCAUUUCCUCUCCCUAUUUUUUCAUUUCCUCUCAUUUCUCUCUCCGACGAACUCUUCCUCUCCUUCACCAACAUCUCCUCCCUUUCUCGGGAGGAAGAAGUAGGGGAUUUCCUAGGCGUAUGUGGUUCCACAGGUAGUGUAUGUGGUUCCUCUUUUUCAGUUAGUCCUCUCGAUUCCUUCAGAUUCAUUUUGUAUGUAUUUUCCUAAAGUUUUUAUGUUUUAGAUCUUAGUUCUCUGCUAGAUGUAUUUGAUUUUCGAUUUUUAGUUCAUUUUCUUAGUAUUUUGGCAUCAAUUUUUCUCAUAUUUAGGGAUUUUCUUCUGUUUAUUCUGGUAGAUCUACUCACCCUAGUUCAGUUUUCAUAUAUAGUAAAUUUCCUCUGUUAUUUCUGUUAUUAAUACCAGUUUUUGUAUAGGUGUUUGAUUCAUCGUUUAGGUUUGUGAAAAAAGAAUAACAGUUUAGUCAUCUUCUACUGGAGAAUAUUCAGUCUCUCUUUUAUGUUUUCAGUCUGUUUCAUUUACUUGGUUCAUGGUUCAUUCCAUCAGUUUCAGAGUUAUUUUUGCAAGUAGUUUCAGAGUUAUGUGUCAUUUCUACAGUCUUCAGUCUUUGUUUUCAGUUCCUAGUCUUCAGAGCUAGUUAUAAGUACCCCUCUAAGGAUCAAUAUCUUUCAGUUAUUAGUCGUCAAUAACCCUAAGGAUCGGCACCCAUGUAUCAGUUAUCAAUCUUUAUUCUUUUUCUGUAUUUAUUGGUUCAGUACAUGUCCGUAGUUAUUCAGUUUUCAGUCGUGUAGUUAUUUUUGUAAGUCUUUUAUGUUGUGAUUAACUUUGGUCAUUGUUUAGAUUUUCUUCAGAUUAUUGUAAUAUUUUCUUUCAUUUUUCAUUCAGUCAUUAGCUCUUCAGUUCAAUUAACAAUUUCAGUGAAUCUUCAGUUUAGUUCAGUCUACAAUUUCAGUCAUAUUCCGUUAAAUUUUUUCAGUCAUAUUCAGUUUCUCUCUAUUCUUCAGUUCUCCAAUUAGCUUGCGUUCAGUUAUGUGUAGUGUGUGCUUCAAUCAGUGAAGAAAUUCAUCCUCAGUUUUCUGUAGGCGUGUUUCAUUUUGUCCUAUGUUGUCAGUCUUUCAUUCUAUCGUUAAUCUUUUUUUCAUUAGGUUGCCUUCAAUUUCAGGUUUCUCUGUUACCCAUUGUUAUUCAAUCUUGUCCUUUUCAGUCAAUGUCUUCAGUUAAUUCUAUCAUUAGUCUUUUUUUUUCAGUGUUUCAUUUUGAGUGAAUUUUUCUUCCAGUGCAAAUUAUUUUAGUCUUGUCCUAUAAUAUUUUCAGUCAUCUUCGUAGUGGAUUGUUCUUCAGUAAUCUAUUUCUUUCUUCAGUCUUCAGUUCAAGUGUGGCAACCAUGCAUUAGCUUCUUAUUCAGAUCACUAGUUAUCACUAUAGAUCAGGGUGUGUGUGGGCAGUCUUUCAGUUUUCAGGUUAUUAGAACUACUUCUCAGGAGAAGCAUUUAGCUCAUCGCGGUUCAGUUAUGACUCUGCGGACCCUGUGUUUUUGCUCACUGUGUCACUUCUGUUUAUCUCCUAGAUUUUUUUUCAGUGCUUACUUCUUGAUAAUUAUUGUGUGGAGUCGCCAGGUUGGCUGUAGGAGCAUCUACUUCUCACAGUUCAGUUUUGGCAGUUUAGUCAUUUAUCUUUUUUAGUUUCCGUUUAAUUAAAGGAAUAUAGGUACCAUAUUCGGCUCAAGUUCAGUGUUUUUUUAGUUUUUGGGUUAUGAUACCAUAUUCGGUUCAAGUUUAGUGGGAAUAUGAUACAUUUCAAGGUAGUUUUCUGUCUCCAGAUUGCGGCGGAUGGUCUGGCUGGCAUACAUCUGGAAAUAGGGAGGAUCACCACUCAUGUGUACAAGACUUGCAUGGACAGUCGAGUUGAAUUUAAAGUGGAGUUGAAGGAGUUUCUGUUUGAGAAGGACCUUAGUGUUGGCGAUGGUGUACUAAUCACCAUCAGGCGAAACACAUUUUGAGGAGUUCAAAUUGAUCAUGAUCAUCAAGAGUUGCUACAGUUUAGUCAGGAGGCUGUGCGCAUUCAUAUUUUUUAUUGUUACAGUCGAUUGAACAAUAUGUAAUCCAGUGAUGUUUUGUUAUUUAUUUAGCUUUUAAAGCUACA